CUGUGAGAAGAGGAAGGAGUUCUUUCUCUCCCUUCUGUUUGUUUAGCUUUCUUUAAUUGUUUAUUUUUAGGAUGAAAAACAUGCCCAUUCAGACUUAUCGAGUAAGUUAAAGAAGGCAUAGGGAGAAAUUUGUCUCAUUAGAAACAUGAAAGCCCUAUUGCAGCCAAAAGUAAACAGGACUUUCCAUUUCCCAGAGAGCCACGUAAGCUGGUGAAGGACUGCUCGGCUCCUGGCCAUCCUCGCUGGCUUUGGCCGGGAGCUGGGGCCGGUGGGGAGCCGGGAGCUCAGCCCGUGGGUCCGCCUGGCUCCCCUGGCUCUGCGACAGGGAGAAGGAGGCAGUGGGACUGCACAAGCGCCAUCUCACUUACAGAUGGGAUACAGCAGCGUUUCAUAACUCCUUUCGCAUGCCCUUCAGGGUUUAUCUCGGUCCAACCCAUCAUCAUCACUUCAUCAGAUGUGAGGUCCUUCCACUGCAGUCAGUCUCCACUCCCCAGUUGCAAGCUUUCCAUCUACUACUUCUGCUUCAAAGCCAGUUGAAGAACUGGAAUUCCUUAUCUUGCUGUGUGCUGAGCCCAAUACAUAUCACAUUAACAGGUAAAACCUCGUCUCGUGCCUACCACAACAAGGCUGUCCAAGUCAUUUACCAUACAAGAAGAGGAGAAUAUUUUGAAGCAGACCUGCCAGAAUUUUGUCAAACGAUAAAGAAACAAAGUGUCUGUAAACUACUCAUACAGUCAUGGGUUUGCCAAACAUCUUUCUUUGGUCACACCUGUUUUGAAAGCUGAACAAAAUGACAUAGGUAUUCAAAUACGUGACUGCAAUUGCAAUUGCACCUCCCUGAGACUGAAAUGGCUGAAACAGCUUUGACCACUGGAACUGCCAUAUGUAGUCCACCAAUGGGGUUGUAGUCAGUAAGUCAUUUGACUUUCAGGAACACCAUCCUAAAUUUCAGCCAAGGUCAAACAUAGAAAUUUCUGGGAACUAUAAGGGAUAUUGAGUAAAACUCCAUCUUAUUAAGGGACACCAUGAGAUACUAUAGUGAAGCCAGGAGAAAAGUUAUUUCAGUUAUGCCUUUCCUUUAGAUUAGACCUUUUAUUUAUUUAUUUUUUUAAAUAACAUUUUUAAGAACUAUAGUUAGAUUUGUAAUGGCACACAUAGUUGUUAUUUUCUCUGAAGUUUGGGUAAAAACUUUCAGCAGGUUUCCAUCACUGUGUCUUUAACAUUAUAUUGUCUUCCCUGAACAAAAUGUCAAUUUAAAUACUGGAUGCUGCAGAACCUGACUAAUUUUUCCCCUUUGGAAGAGUAAGUAGUGUGUUAGUGGCAAACAAAAUGUGAUGAAAUGUCUGUCUCCAGACGGCAUUGUAAAAGCUAUAAGCUUUGCCUUGUCACAGACAAGCUCAGUUUUCCAAAUCCACCAGCUGCACGUAAUGAAGUAUUGCUGUACCAGUUUUCCUGAACUCAUGUCUUCCAACAUGGGAAAUAUUUAUUGAUGUUUUUUUACUUUUUCAGUCUGUUUAGUACCGAGCUGAUGAGAGCACGUGUGCUUUUUUUUGUUAAAAGUUUCAGAGACACAACACUUCUCUGAACCAGGGAAGCAUCAUGCACCUUUCUUCAGUGAUAUUUUGCCACAUCACUCCUUCACAUUACAUCCAUUUUGGAGACUGGUAAGUUCAGGAUCCUUGAGGAGACACUGGAAUACAGAUCACAGUCAACUCUUUGAAUGUGAUCGACACCACCUCUUCCUUGUGCAGGCCAUAUCCAAUUUCAUUGUUUGUGGUCCGAAUUUGAGGAGGUUAUUUUUGCUGAACCACAUACGCAGAAGAACAUGAAACUCCUGCCAUUGUUAAAAGAACAAAGAGGUUACCUGUUUCCCUGGACUAUUUUCAUAUUCUCUGUCAGUAUAUCAGACUGGGGUACAUUUUUUUCUAAACACCAUGAGAAAUUGGUUCUUUCCGAUCCAAGCUCGAUUUUAAAUGAAAUAUUCUUGUAUAUCUCAAUAGUAGUUGUUUGGUCUGUUCAGGUGGGGAAUCUGGGAACCUUUAUGACAAAAACUUCAGAAAAUAAGUCAAAUAAAUGUAUAAAAUAACAGUGAUAUUUUUUUCUUUUUUAUCUGGCAAAUACAUCUACAAGGCCUUCUUUUUUACAUUUCCUCUAUGUGCUUCUGUUCAAUGAGAUCUAUCUCAGUCUACAAUAGCUUCAGCUUCCCCUAGGACAAUUACUGUAAAAGCACUAAUGCAAGUACAGUCAUCUUUUAGUAAUAUAUGUGUAAAACUACUUUGAGCAGCACAUACUGUCCUACUGCUUAAAGGUAAAACCAUCAAAUAAG